UCGAACGGCAGCACGGAGCUUGCUCUGGUGGCGAGUGGCGAACGGGUAAGCAAUAUAUCGGAACGUACCCUGGAGUGGGGGAUAACGUAGCGAAAGUUACGCUAAUACCGCAUACGAUCUAAGGAUGAAAGUGGGGGAUCGCAAGACCUCAUGCUCGUGGAGCGGCCGAUAUCUGAUUAGCUAGUUGGUAGGGUAAAAGCCUACCAAGGCAUCGAUCAGUAGCUGGUCUGAGAGGACGACCAGCCACACUGGAACUGAGACACGGUCCAGACUCCUACGGGAGGCAGCAGUGGGGAAUAUUGGACAAUGGACGAAAGCCUGAUCCAGCCAUGCCGCGUGUGUGAAGAAGGUCUUCGGAUUGUAAAGCACUUUAAGUUGGGAGGAAGGGCAGUAAAUUAAUACUUUGCUGUUUUGACGUUACCGACAGAAUAAGCACCGGCUAACUCUGUGCCAGCAGCCGCGGUAAU
rnacentral:rRNA from 1 species